rnacentral:rRNA from 1 species
GUUGAACGCUGGCGGCAUGCCUUACACAUGCAAGUCGAACGGCAGCAUGAUCUAGCUUGCUAGAUUGAUGGCGAGUGGCGAACGGGUGAGUAAUACAUCGGAACGUGCCCUGUAGUGGGGGAUAACUAGUCGAAAGAUUAGCUAAUACCGCAUACGACCUGAGGGUGAAAGUGGGGGACCGCAAGGCCUCAUGCUAUAGGAGCGGCCGAUGUCUGAUUAGCUAGUUGGUGAGGUAAAGGCUCACCAAGGCGACGAUCAGUAGCUGGUCUGAGAGGACGAUCAGCCACACUGGGACUGAGACACGGCCCAGACUCCUACGGGAGGCAGCAGUGGGGAAUUUUGGACAAUGGGCGAAAGCCUGAUCCAGCAAUGCCGCGUGUGUGAAGAAGGCCUUCGGGUUGUAAAGCACUUUUGUCCGGAAAGAAAUGGCUCUGGUUAAUACCUGGGGUCGAUGACGGUACCGGAAGAAUAAGGACCGGCUAACUACGUG